GACGAACGCUGGCGGCGUGCUUAACACAUGCAAGUCGAACGGAAAGGCCCUGCUUUUGUGGGGUGCUCGAGUGGCGAACGGGUGAGUAACACGUGAGUAACCUGCCCUUGACUUUGGGAUAACUUCAGGAAACUGGGGCUAAUACCGGAUAUGAGCUCCUGCUGCACGGUGGGGGUUGGUAAGUUUCGGCGGUUGGGGAUGGACUCGCGGCUUAUCAGCUUGUUGGUGGGGUAGUGGCUUACCAAGGCUUUGACGGGUAGCCGGCCUGAGAGGGUGACCGGGCACAUUGGGACUGAGAGACGGCCCAGACUCCUACGGGAGGCAGCAGUGGAGAAUAUUGCACAAUGGGCGGAAGCCUGAUGCAGCAACGCCGCGUGCGGGAUGACGGCCUUCGGGUUGUAAACCGCUUUCGCCUGUGACGAAGCGUGAGUGACGGUAAUGGGUAAAGAAGCACCGGCUAACUACGUG
rnacentral:rRNA from 1 species